GGCUCUUUAGCUCAGUUGGGAGAGCGAUAGACUGAAGUUCUGCAGGUCUCCGGUUCAAUCCCGGAAAGGGCCA
rnacentral:tRNA from 1 species